AGAGUUUGAUCAUGGCUACGAGGACGAACGCUGGCGGCGUGCUUAACACAUGCAAGUCGAACGAAGUGCUACCAAAUGAGAUUUCGGUCAAAUGAAGUAGCAUCUUAGUGGCGGACGGGUGAGUAACGCGUGAGUAACCUGCCUUUCAGAGUGGAAUAACAUUUGGAAACGAAUGGUAAUACCGCAUAACAUUGUUGAAUCGCAUGAAUUAACAAUCAAAGGAGCAAUCCGCUGAAAGAUGGACUCGCGUCCGAUUAGCUAGAUGGCGAGGUAACGGCCCACCAUGGCGACGAUCGGUAGCCGGACUGAGAGGUUGAACGGCCACAUUGGGACUGAGACACGGCCCAGACUCCUACGGGAGGCAGCAGUGGGGAAUAUUGCACAAUGGGGGAAACCCUGAUGCAGCAACGCCGCGUGAAGGAAGACGGUCUUCGGAUUGUAAACUUUUGUUCUUAGUGAAGAAACAUGACGGUAGCUAAGGAGAAAGCCACGGCUAACUACGUG
rnacentral:rRNA from 1 species